UAUAAUUGAGCUCCUACGCUUUUAAAAGUACCAAGACAUUGGUGCUUGUAAAUUUUUAGUCUUUGGAUUAAGGAAUGUGUGGUUAGGAUGAUGUGAGCCCCCUAGGGUUAAGUGGGUGGUUGGUUGAAUAGUAUAAUCUAACGGGUGUAAAUGGUCAACAGUGCAGAUAGAACGGCUAAAAACCUCAAGCACCAAGUGUUUGGUGCUUUUAAAAGCAUCAUAGCCGGACUCUCUCUCUCUCUAU
rnacentral:lncRNA from 1 species